rnacentral:lncRNA from 1 species
AAGAUUUCUUUGGCAUCAAGUCUUCAUUUGAGCCGUAUUGAUUUGGCACAAUCAAAGGGGCACCGGUUUUGAUACUUCUCCGAGCUGUGGGACCCCUUUUCCUACUCUCUUCUUAGGCUGUGAAGACUUCACCAGAGACCGCUCAUAGUCCGAAAGUGCUGGCUUUUUCUGAGCUUCGCGUUGCUUCUUUUGCUGGUCCGCCACCUUCUAUCUUAGUUCUGAUGGCUUUAUAUAAAAGUACGG